AUUGAACGCUGGCGGCAUGCUUUACACAUGCAAGUCGAACGGCAGCGCGGGCUUCGGCCUGGCGGCGAGUGGCGAACGGGUGAGUAAUACAUCGGAACGUGCCCAGUAGUGGGGGAUAGCUCGGCGAAAGCCGGAUUAAUACCGCAUACGACCUGAGGGUGAAAGCGGGGGAUCUUCGGACCUCGCGCUAUUGGAGCGGCCGAUGGCAGAUUAGCUAGUUGGUGGGGUAAAGGCCUACCAAGGCGACGAUCUGUAGCUGGUCUGAGAGGACGACCAGCCACACUGGGACUGAGACACGGCCCAGACUCCUACGGGAGGCAGCAGUGGGGAAUUUUGGACAAAGGGCGAAAGCCUGAUCCAGCAAUGCCGCGUGUGUGAUGAAGGCCUUCGGGUUGUAAAGCACUUUUGGCGGGAACGAAAAGGACUGUGCCAAUACCACGAUUCGAUGACGGUACCCGCAGAAUAAGCACCGGCUAACUACGUG
rnacentral:rRNA from 1 species